rnacentral:rRNA from 1 species
UUGAAAGGGAAACGAUUGAAGUCAGUCGUACCGACGAGAAAUCAACUUAUCGUGUGCGAACUUGUGGGCGUGCGUGAGUUUCGGCCUCGCUGUUUGCAUGUUUGUGCGUUUUGGGUGUACUUUUUCGUAUGGUAGGCCAACGUCAGUUUCGAUUAUCAUAAAAUGACCGGCGGAAUGUAGCUUCGAUUUCGGUUGAAGUGUUAUAGCCUCUGGUAGAUGUGGUGAUUGAGACUGAGGAUUGCAACGAAUACCCUUUGGGCUAUCCGUCUGGCCUCUGAAAGUUGCUCAGGUGCCGAAAGCGUGCUUACGGUCAUCUAAGAUAACGUUCAACAGGUUAGAACGUGAUUACAUUCGUUAAGGAUGUUGAUGUA